UACGUAGGGACCGAGCGUUGUCCGGAAUCAUUGGGCGUAAAGAGCGUGUAGGCGGCCUUUUAAGUCCUGCGUGAAAUCCUGCGGCUCAACCGCAGACGGUCGUGGGAAACUGGAAGGCUAGAGUGCGGGAGAGGAGAGUGGAAUUCCCGGUGUAGCGGUGAAAUGCGCAGAUAUCGGGAAGAACACCGGUGGCGAAGGCGGGUCUCUGGGCAAUUCCUGACGCUGAGGCGCGAAAGCGUGGGGAGCAAACGGG
rnacentral:rRNA from 1 species